CAUGCACCUGGAGAUUUGAUAUAGAAGCCUCGAUGCCCUUAACCCACCUAAAAAUGUCACUCACCUCCACUCUGUUCCACCUUAACAACUGCCUCCUCAUUAAGUCAAGUCUGUGGGACAUCUGAUAUCUAGCAUCAUCCCGAACUGAUAUCCUCCAAAUGCCCCUCACAAUGUCCUAGGAUCGAGGAUGGAAAAGUCAAAGUUUCUAAAAUCAGAAAG
rnacentral:lncRNA from 1 species